rnacentral:ncRNA from 1 species
UACCUGGUUGAUCCUGCCAGUAGUCAUAUGCUUGUCUCAAAGAUUAAGCCAUGCAUGUCUAAGUAUAAACUCUUUUAUACUGUGAAACUGCGAAUGGCUCAUUAAAUCAGUUAUAGUUUAUUUGAUGGUACCUUACUACUCGGAUAACCGUAGUAAUUCUAGAGCUAAU